rnacentral:lncRNA from 12 species
GGAGGCUGUUGAUCCUUCCUAGAUUCCAGAAGGAAGAGGUUCACUGCUGUAGUGUAUUUAUGCUGAAUUAUGAGGUCCAUGUUGACCUGUGGAUGAGCACUGUGAUUCUACCCAAUCUUCCUCCCUUUUCUGUUUGCUACCAAAUGAUGGAAAAGGAGAAAUAUUUCCCCAUUUAUCCCAGCCUGACCAACCAACUCCUUAAACAAAAGGCAGGCAUCUUGUUGCACAUGUAGCUCUGAGUGAUUUCCAUAAAGCAUGUGUAGUUGAACAAAAUAGAAACUGGGAUCCAAAAGCAAUUGUUUAUGGAUGUACAAUAUCC